rnacentral:tRNA from 1 species
GACCUCGUAACUCAGGUGGUUAGAGCGUUUGAUUUACUUAAGUCUUGCUCUUGUUGUCGUGGGUUCGAAUCCCACCGAGACCA